rnacentral:rRNA from 1 species
AACGAACGCUGGCGGCAUGCCUAACACAUGCAAGUCGAACGAGACCUUCGGGUCUAGUGGCGCACGGGUGCGUAACGCGUGGGAACCUGCCCUUAGGUUCGGAAUAACUCCCCGAAAGGGGUGCUAAUACCGGAUAAUGUCUUCGGACCAAAGAUUUAUCGCCUUUGGAUGGGCCCGCGUUGGAUUAGCUAGUUGGUAGGGUAAAAGCCUACCAAGGCGACGAUCCAUAGCUGGUCUGAGAGGAUGAUCAGCCACACUGGGACUGAGACACGGCCCAGACUCCUACGGGAGGCAGCAGUGGGGAAUAUUGGACAAUGGGCGAAAGCCUGAUCCAGCAAUGCCGCGUGAGUGAUGAAGGCCUUAGGGUUGUAAAGCUCUUUUACCCGGGAUGAUAAUGACAGUACCGGGAGAAAAGCUCCGGCUAACUCCGUG